UACGUAGGGCGCAAGCGUUGUCCGGAAUCAUUGGGCGUAAAGAGCUCGUAGGCGGCCUGUUGCGUCCGCUGUGAAAUCCCCGGGGGCUUAACCCCGGGCGUGCAGUGGAUACGGGCUGGCUGGAGGCAGGCAGGGGGAGAACGGAAUUCCCGGUGUAGCGGUGAAAUGCGCAGAUAUCGGGAGGAACACCGGUGGCGAAGGCGGUUCUCUGGGCCUGUACUGACGCUGAGGAGCGAAAGCGUGGGGAGCGAACAGG
rnacentral:rRNA from 1 species